CGUACGCUGGCGGCACGCCUAACACAUGCAAGUCGAACGAAGUAGCAAUACUUAGUGGCAGACGGGUGAGUAACAUGUAGGUAUCUACCCUUUGGCCUGGAAUAACACGAGGAAACUUGUGCUAAUACCGGAUAAGUCUUUACAGAGAAAGCUUUACGCACCAUUGGAUGAGCCUGCACUUGAUUAGUUUGUUGGUGGGGUAAUGGCCUACCAAGACUGUGAUCAAUAGCUGAUUUGAGAGGAUGAUCAGCCACAUUGGGACUGAGACACGGCCCAAACUCCUACGGGAGGCAGCAGUGGGGAAUCUUGCACAAUGGAGGAAACUCUGAUGCAGCGAUGCCGCGUGAGUGAAGAAGGCCUUUGGGUUGUAAAGCUCUUUCGUCGGGGAAGAAAAUGACUGUACCCGAAUAAGAAGGUCCG
rnacentral:rRNA from 1 species